rnacentral:rRNA from 1 species
UACGUAGGGUGCGAGCGUUGUCCGGAAUUAUUGGGCGUAAAGAGCUCGUAGGCGGUUUGUCGCGUCUGCUGUGAAAACCUAAGGCUCAACCUUGGGCUUGCAGUGGGUACGGGCAGACUAGAGUGCGGUAGGGGUGACUGGAAUUCCUGGUGUAGCGGUGGAAUGCGCAGAUAUCAGGAGGAACACCGGUGGCGAAGGCGGGUCUCUGGGCAGUAACUGACGCUGAGGAGCGAAAGCGUGGGGAGCGAACAGG